rnacentral:tRNA from 1 species
GCCUAGUUAGCUUAGCUGGUAGUGCGUCUGCCUUGUAAGCGCUAGGCCGCGGGUUCGAUUCCCGCCCGCGGCG